rfam:Firmicutes bacterium CAG:41 genomic scaffold, scf193
UGACAAACGAUGAAGCGGGAGGUUGCGGCGAUUUAACGUCGGUUUUUCUGUGGAGUGAGUCCGAUUCAUGAAACCGGGCGGCA